GACGAACGCUGGCGGCGUGCUUAACACAUGCCAGUCGAACGGAAAGGCCCUGCUUUUGUGGGGUGCUCGAGUGGCGAACGGGUGAGUAACACGUGAGUAACCUGCCCUUGACUUUGGGAUAACUUCAGGAAACUGGGGCUAAUACCGGAUAGGAGCUCCUGCUGCAUGGUGGGGGUUGGAAAGUUUCGGCGGUUGGGGAUGGACUCGCGGCUUAUCAGCUUGUUGGUGGGGUAGUGGCUUACCAAGGCUUUGACGGGUAGCCGGCCUGAGAGGGUGACCGGCCACAUUGGGACUGAGAUACGGCCCAGACUCCUACGGGAGGCAGCAGGGGGGAAUAUUGCACAAUGGGCGGAAGCCUGAUGCAGCAACGCCGCGUGCGGGAUGACGGCCUUCGGGUUGUAAACCGCUUUCGCCUGUGACGAAGCGUGAGUGACGGUAAUGGGUAAAGAAGCACCGGCUAACUACGUG
rnacentral:rRNA from 1 species